CCGAGUUUACAACUCCCAAACCCCUGUGAACAUACCUAUACGUUGCCUCGGCGGAUCAGCCCGCGCCCCGUAAAAAGGGACGGCCCGCCCGAGGACCCCUAAACUCUGUUUUUGGUGGAACCUCUGAGUAAAACAAACAAAUAAAUCA
rnacentral:misc_RNA from 1 species